UUGAUGCACACCGUGUCACCAUAGAGAUGAAUUCUCACCAUGAAUUACAGAAGCUCAUACUCUCUAAAGUACUAAUACUGACGACUACAUUCCUGCAUAUUUAGAUAUAUAAAACUAACUACUAAAGUACUAAAACUGACGGUUCUAAUCCAAACUGGAAGUAUUGCCUACAGAAAUUCAGAACCUUGGUAGGUGUUGAUGAUUCAGACCUUAGUUACUUCGGACUUCAGAAUUGCAUUUAUGCAGCUAUUCUCUAGGAGAAGUCGUGCAAUACAAACAUAUUAAAAAGUUUCGUCUUGAAUACGCGGCAAACAACUACGUCAGACAAAGAUCUGGAGUACUUGCUCAUAUCUGUGGGGAGUGAUGAAUCGAACAAGGAGGAAGGCCGAUGUGUUUGUUCUUCAACCAUUUCCUACUGAAACCUAGAAAAUUGGGGGGAAUCAUGGCUAGAGCAUAUGUGAACUUGGCCUCCGGUCAUUGAGUCAGGUUUCUGGUUUUGCUUGGGAGAGUAGCAUGUAUUUCCCAUUUGUUUAUUUAAAUAAUUUGUAUCUAAUUCAUGUGAACCAGAUCGUGCUUGGGAGAGUAGCAUGUGUUUGAUUUAGUUACAUACAUAGACCUUUUGAACAUUUGACUUGGCUGUUUGGAUCUGCUUUUAUGCAGGGAGACUGUAUUCCAACCAUAAAACUGAUACAACGGGCACACUAAUAUGACUGUUGUACUUUCAAAUCGACCAUCUGAUUAUUCAGGAGAAAUGUAUCAAAGGACCUCUAUGUUCCCUAUCAUGUGUAUUUAACAAGUAAAUAUUGAGCUACUCUCGAUUUAUCUUGCUAAUGACCAUUUGCACCUUUUCAUUUAUUUUUGCUUAUCCAUUUGUUUUGUAUAAUAUAUGCAUGUUGUAGAAUAAAGAUGAGCUGAAAAUUGACACCAUUCACAGAGCUAGACAAAGCUUAUGAAUGUAGCAGGGGAAAACAUAGUUGAUUUAAAUUAAUGUUGUACUUGCUUAUAUGAACCAUCUUUUGUUUCUUGCAAUGGGGGAUUUAUUCACAAGGAUUAUCUUGUUGUGUGUAGGCAGCGCAACUGUACCAAUGUUACAAGGUUGUAUCAUUUGUACAACAACACACAUAAUGCUCUAAGCUCGUGGUGUUAGUACUAGACAUUCUUUUGUUAUUUUUUACUUUAUUCCUUGGGUAUACUAUACUGCAUUUUGUCUCCUGAUAAAUGUCAAGAAAGAAAAACCUUGCUUGGAUUAUCGUAUGGGUUGUAAAAAAAAUAUGUGAAUGCAUUAGGAACUGUGUACAUAUAGGUAUGAUGCAACUCUUUUGAAUCUAGAGAUUGUAUGACACAUGCCUCAUAUUUGUAUGGGACUGUACACCUGAUCUCCUAAAAGUAUUAUGUGCUGCAGACAUUUUUAUUUCCUUUGAUUUCCUAUAGCUUCAUGUAGAAUGUUUGGGAUUGUAUUUCAGGCACCUUUUUCAAUUGUUAGUUGAGGUGCUUCUGAUUUUCUGAAUGAAUACAUAGGUAGUCUUGAAGACGCUCUGUUCUUAUUUUUCAAAUCUUUACUUUGCUUAUUGUCCUUAUUCUGGUUCUCCUUGGCAUCUUUCUAUCAGUGGAGAUCCUUGUUUUCAAAUAGUAGGGAUAGAGGGACAGAAAAGAU